AGAACAUUGCACAGGGAAACACAUCUGUAAAGAGACAUGGGGAAAUAUAUAAAGGACAUGAGGAGCAGAUAUUCAGUAGGAUUCACUCCGACGGUCAUCAACUGGAUUCCUGACAAUUCCUAUCGAUUCACUCCGACGGUCAUCAACUGGAUUCCUGACAAUUCCUAUCGGUAAGUA